CUAUCAUCUCUUUUAGAGUUUUGAUAUGUGGCUUAAGAGGAUUAAUAGUCAUGUGCGUGGCACCUACCCAUUCAGGUGCGUCAUACAUGUCCCGUAAGUAAAAGGUCCCCUGUUUAUUGUAUGAACCUCCUCCCUUCCAGUACAUUCCCAUUACAUAUUGCCCAGCAUCUCCAGGACUGGGAUGCUCUAUGUUUAAAGCUAGUUUCAUAGGUGUCGCCCCCCCCUGGUUUCCUGAACGUCAUUCUUUUCAGUAAGGACUCCCUAUUUGUAUCUAAUCUGUCUAAGGCACUUUGUGGUCUAUAGCCCCAAGCUGGCCCUGUAUUCCAACCUACUGCCUUCCAUGAGCUACACUCAUAUCCCCAGUAGUCAUCAGUCACACAUAUGUAUGGGUCCUUAAUGUUAGGUAUGUCUUUGUACACUGUUGACAACAAUGCUGGUGGAAAUGUACAAUUUACAAUAUCACGAUAAUCAAAUGCAAAUGUGGCUACCCGUGUACUAGAGGAAUUGUACCAAAAUGUAUAAACAUGAUUGUCUUUGGUUAUAGCGACUUGUUGGGCCUUUAUCAGACCUAGCAGCAAGAACAAAUAC